rnacentral:rRNA from 1 species
GAUGAACGCUGGCGGCGUGCUUAACACAUUCAAGUCGAACGGGCGAAGGGAGCUUGCUCCCCUAGCUAGUGGCGGACGGGUGAGUAACGCGUGAGUAACCUACCUUUCUCUGGGGGAUAACAUUGGGAAACCGGUGCUAAUACCGCAUAACGUGUUUGGAUCGCAUGGUCUGAACACCAAAGGAUUUUAUUUGGAGAAAGAUGGGCUCGCGUCUGAUUAGCUAGUUGGUGGGGUAACGGCCCACCAAGGCGACGAUCAGUAGCCGGUCUGAGAGGAUGAACGGCCACAUUGGGACUGAGAUACGGCCCAGACUCCUACGGGAGGCAGCAGUGGGGAAUAUUGGGCAAUGGGGAACCCUGACCCAGCAACGCCGCGUGAAGGAAGAAAGGCCUUCGGGUUGUAACGUU